UACGCAGGCGGUCUAGUAAGUCAGAGGUGAAAUCCAUCGGCUCAACCGGUGAACUGCCUUUGAUACUGUUAGACUUGAGGAUAAGAGAAGAAAGCGGAAUUCCUAGUGUAGUGGUGAAAUACGUAGAUAUUAGGAAGAAUACCGAUGGCGAAAGCAGCUUUCUAACUUACUCCUGACGCUGAGGUACGAAAGCUAGGGUAUCAAACG
rnacentral:rRNA from 1 species